ACUCCUACGGGGAGGCAGCAUGGGGAAUAUUGCACAAUGGGGCGCAAGGCCCUGAUGCAGCCAUGCCGCGUGUGUGAAGAAGGCCUUCGGGUUGUAAAGCACUUUCAGUCGUGAGGAAGGUAGUGAGUUAAUAGCUGCAUUAUUUGACGUUAGCGACAGAAGAAGCACCGGCUAACUCCGUGCCAGCAGCCGCGGUAAUACGGAGGGUGCGAGCGUUAAUCGGAAUUACUGGGCGUAAAGCGCAUGCAGGUGGUUUGUUAAGUCAGAUGUGAAAGCCCGGGGCUCAACCUCGGAAUUGCAUUUGAAACUGGCAGACUAGAGUACUGUAGAGGGGGGUAGAAUUUCAGGUGUAGCGGUGAAAUGCGUAGAGAUCUGAAGGAAUACCGGUGGCGAA
rnacentral:rRNA from 1 species